GCGCUCUUAGUUCAGUUCGGUAGAGCGUGGGUCUCCAAAACCUGAUGUCGUAGGUUCAAGAUGGGUAUGAGAGCUCA
rnacentral:tRNA from 2 species